rnacentral:rRNA from 1 species
CCCUUAGAUGUUCUGGGCCGCACGCGCGCUACACUGAUGCAUUCAACGAGUCUAAAACCUGGUCUGAUAGGGCUGGGUAAUCUUUUGAAAGUGCAUCGUGAUUGGGAUAGAUGAUUGCAAUUCUUCAUCUUCAACGAGGAAUGCCUAGUAAACGCAAGUCAUCAGCUUGCAUUGAUUACGUCCCUGCCCUUUGUACACACCGCCCGUCGCUACUACCGAUUGAAUGGUUUAGUGAGAUCUUCGGAUUGGCGCCACUGCAGCUCAGCAAUGGGCUUGGUGGAUGCCGAAAAGUUGAUCAAACUUGAUCAUUUAGAGGAAGUAAAAGUCGUAACA